rnacentral:sRNA from 1 species
UUCAUUCGAUCGGUGGCGUUCGUGAGAGA